UCAUUAGUUUUUUAAUUGAAAGCUGGAAUGAAUGGUUUGAUGAAAAAAUUACUGUCUCAACUUUAAGAUUAGAAUUUUAUUUUUAAGUUAAAAAGCUUAAAUUUAUUUAAAAGACGAGAAGACCCUAUAGAGUUUUAUUUAAAAUAAAUUUAUUUAAUUUAGAAUUUAAAAUUUUAAUUUUAUUUUGAAUUUGGUUGGGGUGAUUAAAAAAUUCAAUAAACUUUUUUUUUAUUAUUACAUUGAUUAAUGAAUUUUUGAUCCAAAAAAAUGAUUAUAAGAUUAAAUUACCUUAGGGAUAACAGCGUUAUUUUUUUUUAGAGUUCAAAUUAAAAAAAUAGAUUGCGACCUCGAUGUUGGAUUAAAAUUAAGUUUUGGUGUAGAAGCUAAAA
rnacentral:rRNA from 1 species